GAGAGCGGACUGUACCAUCAGCGGGCGUCGCCCAGCCGCCUCUCUUUCGCUGGGUCGCGCCUCCUUUAGUUGCCGGCCCGCGGCGAUCCUUCUGGCCGGGCUGUAGGGCCGGAGUAGGUGCGGGGCGAGGCAGCGCAGUGGGUGCACACACGCAUCCCCACUGUGGACGCCUGAGGUCGCUGCCCGAGACCCAGGCCCCAUGCCGCCCUGGUGUCUGCACGCGGCUGCUGAGUUUGGCCCUGGUUGGCCCGGCCCCCUAGCUGCCCACCAUCGGACCCAAGCGACCCAGGUCCCGGCCAAGGGAGGACAGUGUGGGUUGGGAGGACCACCCACCCCCUAGUCAGCCGUGUCGUGCCCGCAGGUCCCACUGGUGGCCGCAUGAGGGAGGCACUGGGGCCGGAGGACCUGGUGCACACGGCCCUGAAUUAUCUCCAGUGCCUACCAAGCGCCAUCAGCUGUGCUGGCCCAGGACAAGCACUGAUGCCUGGCGGGUCCUGCACUCAGACCAGGCCUGGGCAGCCCCGAGGGCACCAGGAAGCCAUGGGCAGAGUGCCCUGUGGCGCUGCCCAGCGCGUGUUCAGAAGGCAGUGCCAGGCACAGGUGGAGGCCAGGGAGGGCUCGAGCGAGAAAAUUCAUAAGGACACAAAAAGCUCAAUAAUCAAGACCGCUACACAAUUUGCAGGGCCUGGUACAAAUGGAAAUGUGGGGUCCUGUGUUCAGAAUUACUAAGCAUUUCAAGGGGCAGCAGGGGAAGAUGACAGCAAUCGAGGUCUUCUAAUCGAAGCCCUGUGUGACUGGUACAGGAAAAAUGGAACUCCUGGCCUAUUAGAUGUCACAUGCGCCGAGUUUGUGGUCUCACAACAUCAGUGAAGUUUCGAACCAAAGAAGGAAGUUAGAGUUUUAUUGGCAAUAGGCAGAAUAGCUCCUGGAUUUCCAAGAGGGGUCCCGAAUGGGUGGCCAUGGAGGCCCUUUGUCAGGAGUAACUCACAGAGCAAAGUCAGUCACCGUGGGUACAACCAACCUAUAGUAGAUUGGCUUAGCUACUGUAGAUCCAACAGGGAAAUGAGUCAUGUAGCAGGGGUACGUGGAAAGAGCAAAGGCAUUUUGGGGAAGUGGGGGUAUGGGUCCAGAUGUUCUUUCUGGUCGCCCACCUGGGUGUCUGAUGGCUGGCUGGGCCCACAGGACCAGGUGGUGCUGGUCAUGGUAUAAUCUCAAGCUGCUGUUUAUCUCUAGGAAGGCUUCCAAGCCUUGUUAUUGCUGUUCCAUCCUGAAGGUUGGUUCUCUUCAGAUUUGCCUCCCACUACGAUUCUAAUGCCUUUAUUUCUUUUGUGCUGACAUCCUUGAAGGCCUAGUCCCUCUCUGACUGUACAGUAUAUUUCUAUCUAACUUAGCUGUCUGUAAUAUGACCUUCCUGGGCCCUGACCUCCUGGGCCUCCCCUAGUCCUGCCAUGUGUCUUAACCUUCCCCUUGGGGCCCAGCCAGCCUGUGAGACCGGGGAGGUGUGGCAGGAGGACCCAAUACAAAGUGCCGCCCCGAAGUUCAGGGGCAGACUGAGGCCACCACUGUCUGUCCACCCCCUGGCCCCAGGGAGCUGAUUGUCAAUCAGCUGGAGCCUCUCUCUCUGCUGCAUUUCUUUCUUGGCACUAUCCUUCUCCAGGAAAAGGAGAACUCAUCUGUGAUCACUCAUUGCUAAGAGGUCCAGCCUCAGAACAAUACUUCAAGUUUGGCUUUGGGGCUUGGAGGGGCAAAGCCUCACUGGUUACUUAGGCAUCCACCUUCUCUUCCCACCCGCGAGGCCUCGUUCUAAAGGAAGAAGAGAAAAAAACCAUCAGUACAUCUUAAUUCAAAUAACCAGCCCUUCUGUCUGUUCUCUUCCCAGUGUAUUUUUUAAAGGUCUAUUAUUUUCUCAAGGACCAUGCUUAGGUAUAUGAAAUAAAAAGCCACACAUACAGUAAUUCUUCAUGCAGAUACAUGAGCAGAAUUCCUUCCUGUUGCCAGUUACACAAGGUACAACUUGUAGAAUUGAAGAAAUGAUCUUGAGGCCAGGGAUUUAGCUCAGUGGCGCCGAGCCUGCCUCACAAGCACAGGGUCCUGAGUUUGAUCCCCGGUACCAAAAAAAAAAUGAUCUUGAGGCUUAAAUUUGCAACUUACAUUUCUCACUUACAAAGCCUGAAGACAUGUCAUCAUUUAGAUAUAAAAGCCUUAUCAUUGCUCUCCUAAACUGUAGUCUGUCUUGUUUUUUCUAGUUUGCAUUCCCUAUCUCCUCUUCAGUAUAAAAAGGGACGUUUUCUUUUGCCUUUUUUUAUUAUUAUUAUUUUAAGGCAGGGUUUCAGUAUGUAGUUUAGACUGGCCUUGAACUCACUAUGUUGUCCAGGCUGGCCUCAAACUUCAGGUGGCAAUCCUCCUGCUUCAGCCUCCUGAGCGCUGGGAUUACAGUUGUGCACCACCAUGUUCCUCUAUAGAAAGGGGCACGGUGAUGACAGUCAGUGGUGUACAUAAGCCCACAGGUAUGACAGACAAGGGAAGGGACCACGUGGCCACAGGCCCUGAGAGUGGGUGGUGCGCCUUGGCAGGGGUAGAGGCCCAGUAGCUGCAGGGCGGGCAGAUGGGAGCAAUUCUUGAAAAACCACAGAGCUCUGCCAAAGUGCCAGCAGGGGCUUGGCACAUUCACUGUGGACCCAGACUGGGCUCAGAUCCUCAGGGGCCUAACAAAAAGGUAAGGUGUGGACCCCGCGUGGCAGAGCUUCCAGCCCAGGGUAUAAAGCUCCCGGCAGCCAGGUGGAUACCCUGUCUCACGGUGAGAGAAUCUGGGAGGAAGCUAGAGGAGGUAGGGACUGCAAGGUUGGGAUGUCCUUACAGGAUGUUAGAAUCUAGAAAGGCUUGAGAAAAAGUGGGCCAGAAACCACUCCUAAUCAGGGCAACUCUCUUUGCUUAUGAAGGUGAUCAGUUUGGCUGAUGUACAGAUGGCUCCAGUUUGCAAAGCUCGGCAGAAGAUGGGAGGAACCCACAAUGUGUAGGCAACAGAGCAUGGCCCAUGAGGAUCUUCAUGAUCUCUUUCUGCCCUUCAGCCUCUGCUGCCUUCACUUUGAUUGCAACAGGUGUGAUGCAGCCUCAGGACCUUUACACUGGCUGUGCCCUGCCUGAAGCACUCUUCCCAGAGGUAUCUGUGUGGCUCUCUUCCUCCAGAAGCCUUUGCCCACAAUCACUUUGUCAGAAGCUUAAAACUGCAAAUCCCCAGCCCACGCCUCAUCUGGCCAUUCUCCACGGUAUUCAGGGCCUCUGGAGCAGCGCUCAGCAAAUUGAGAAGCAUCAAAUGCGCGGAUGAACAUUCUUAACGCAUGGUGCAUUAUUGGCCACCUAUUGCUGCAUUACACACUUGAUGGCUUAAGACGACACACGUAAUCACACACUCGUGAUGCCAGUGUCUGUGCACCAAGACCCUGGGCACAGCUCUCGGGGUGCUCAGCCUCAGAGCCUCAGCCUGCAGCCCAGGAUGCGCCCCGGGGCAGGGUCUCCCUGGCAGGCCCGCGGGGGAAGGAUCUGUGGCCAAGCCACGCGCGGAUGGUGGAGGGACGCUGGCUGGGUGCUGGCCAGAGGCCCCCUUGUGUCCCACCGCGUGAACCUCACCGCCGGGGAACUCACAAGUAGCAGCCCAGCAAGGGAGAUCCAAGGAGGAAGCGGGACCUCAGUGCCGCUGAAUCAGCCCAAUUCAGUACAAUGGCAUAUGAAAAUCCCCUUUUACAACUUUGGGAGGAGGUUGAAAGUGAAUCAUCAGGUGACUGCUACUGAUGAUGACUUGGAUCACGUGAGCCAAAGAAGUUAGCAAGAAUGACAGAUAUGACAGACAGAGAUGGCAGAGAAGUACAAAACAAAGACCUUGAUUCAGAUGGGGAAGAAAACAGCAAUGCAAAUAAAUGUUUGGCUAGUCAAAAUGCUACAGAUGGUCAUGUAUACCUGAGUGAUCCAAUGUUAGAACUAGGUCAGAAAAUGUUAUUAGGUUCUUUCCAGGGGUGAAACCUAUUGGAUGGAAUCCCAACACUGUGAUUUGAUGUUAGAAAUUGUUUGUAAUGGAUGAUGUGCAUAAGAUGUUGUGAAGUACACUAAUAAUGAAAUAGAAGUAAAACAUUCUACGUGCAUCAAUAGUAAUACUCAAAAAUACAUUUAUCAUGACACCUCACUAGCUGAACUAAAAACCCUCAUAGCAGGACUUUAUCAUUCUAAUCAUCAGAAUCUAAAGGAUUUAUGGGGAAGUGACAGAUGUGGCAUUGAGAUUUUUAGAACAAUAUUGACACUCAAGAGAUUUGGUUUCCUUCAAAAUUAUCUACAUUUUGAUGACAAAAAGACCUGCCAAGAAAAAAAAAUUGACAAUUUGGCUGUUAUUCGCUCAUUUGUUGACAGCAUUGUUUCAAACUGUCAGUUUAUAUACCAUUUAAAUACAUGAUAAUUGACAAACAACUCGCAUCAUUUCAUGGUUGUUGAAGCUUUUGGAGAUACAUGGCAAGAAAAACCUUCCAAGUGUGGUAUAAAAAUAUGUGCCCUGGUAGCUGUGAAGAGAUUUUACACUUGUGAAUUUAGAAAUUUAUCCUGGAACUCAGCCAGCCACCUGGUCUUUAUUUGUGCAGUAAUAAACUGUAUGACGUUGUGAACCUAUUUCAAAAAGUAACCCAAAUGUCACAUUCGACAGCUGGUUCACUGGUUACCCACUGAUGUUACAUUUGCUAAAAAAACACCAGUUGACCAGCACAGGACUUACUGAGAUUCCUGAGAAAAAUGUUGCAAGUUCACAAUAGAGAAAUGAAUAGUACCAUCUUUGGAAUGCAGAAAGAUAUAACAUUGGCCUCCUAUAUGGUGAAGAAAAACAAAGUAGUAUUGAUCUGUCAACAUUACAUGCUGAUGAUAAGAUUGAUAGUGAGGCCCUGUGUGUGUGUUUGUGUGCGUGCAUGGCGCAUGGCUGUGCACACUUGUGAUGCCAGCACUUGGGAAGGUGAGGCAGGAGGAUCCUGUGAGUUCAAGGUCAGUCUGUGCUAGAUAGUUCAAGGCCAGCCUCCACUACAUAGCAAGACCCUGUCUGAAGACAAACAAACAAAGACUGAUAGUGAAUCCUCAACACAGAUGAAACCAGAAAUGUUUACAUUUACAAAACAAAAGGUGGAGUAGAUUUAAUGACAAGUUAAGAUGUCACUCAAAACACAAAGUGUUGGCCAAUGAUUGUGUUUUGCUCGAUCCUAAACAUGUAUGGCAUAAAUAGUUUCAUAGUUUACAUAGAAAACAACAAGCACGAAAUAUCACAGAGAAACUUUCUUAGAGCAUUGGGACUGGAAUUGAUAAACGAUCAGUUCAACAGAGGGAGAACAGUAUGUAUCUGCCCAAAGAAUAUACGUCUGCAACAGAAUUCUGGAGCAGACUGGUGCACAGACAGGUGAAACAUCACAGGAACUCCUGAGAACAGGAAGAGCAGCGAGAUGCCAAGUGCGUCCACCAAAGACAGGAAGACUACACACACGUGCUGCCAGUGUGAGCGAGGCUUGGGUACGGACAUGCGUUGUCAUGUGGGACAGCUGCCUUGGGUGUGACAAGUGAAGGAGACUAUUUCUGCGGUUGAGUUUUGUUUGUAUUCUCAUUGUAGUUCACAUAGGAAUUUAUUUCUGCUGUUAUUUUUUAGAUCUUGU